AACGAACGCUGGCGGCAUGCCUAACACAUGCAAGUCGAACGAGACCCCCGGGCUUAGCGGCGCGCGGGUGCGUAACGCGUUGGAACCCGCGUUUAGAAUCGGCACCGCUAACCGAAAGAAGCGCUAAUAACGCAUAAUGAUUCCGGACCAACGGUUUAUCGCCCUUGUAUGGGCCUGCGUUGGAUUAGCUAGUUGGUAGGGUAAAAGCCUACCAAGGCGACGAUCCAUAGCUGGUCAGAGAGGAUGAUCAGCCACACUGGGACUGAGACACGGCCCAGACUCCUACGGGAGGCAGCAGUGGGGGACAUUGGACAGUGGGCGAGAGCCUGAUCCAGCAAUGCCGCGUGAGUGAUGAAGGCCUGAGGGUUGUAAAGCUCUUUUACCCGGGAUGAGAAUGACAGUACCGGGAGAAUAAGCUCCGGCUAACUCCGUG
rnacentral:rRNA from 1 species